rnacentral:rRNA from 1 species
CCUACGGGGGGCUGCAGUGGGGAAUAUUGGACAAUGGGGGGAACCCUGAUCCAGCCAUGCCGCGUGUGUGAAGAAGGCCCUCGGGUUGUAAAGCACUUUCAGUGAGGAAGAACGCCUGGUGGUUAAUACCCAUCAGGAAAGACAUCACUCACAGAAGAAGCACCGGCUAACUCCGUGCCAGCAGCCGCGGUAAUACGGAGGGUGCGAGCGUUAAUCGGAAUUACUGGGCGUAAAGCGCGCGUAGGUGGCUUGAUAAGCCGGUUGUGAAAGCCCCGGGCUCAACCUGGGAACGGCAUCCGGAACUGUCAAGCUAGAGUGCAGGAGAGGAAGGUAGAAUUCCCGGUGUAGCGGUGAAAUGCGUAGAGAUCGGGAGGAAUACCAGUGGCGAAGGCGGCCUUCUGGACUGACAAUGACACUGAGGUGCGAAAGCGUGGGUAGCAAACAGGAUUAGAUACCCUAGUAGUC